rnacentral:rRNA from 1 species
GACGAACGCUGGCGGCGUGCUUAACACAUGCAAGUCGAACGAUGAAGCCGGAGCUUGCUCUGGUGAAUUAGUGGCGAACGGGUGAGUAACACGUGAGUAACCUGCCCUUGACUCUGGGAUAACUGCGGGAAACUGUAGCUAAUACCGGAUACGACCCUCGGAGGCAUCUCCUGGGGGUGGAAAGAAUUUCGGUCAAGGAUGGACUCGCGGCCUAUCAGCUAGUUGGUGAGGUAAAGGCUCACCAAGGCGACGACGGGUAGCCGGCCUGAGAGGGUGACCGGCCCAACUGGGACUGAGACACGGCCCAGACUCCUACGGGAGGCAGCAGUGGGGAAUAUUGCACGAUGGGCGCAAGCCUGAUGCAGCAACGCCGCGUGAGGGAUGACGGCCUUCGGGUUGUAAACCUCUUUUAGCAGGGAAGAAGCGAAAGUGACGGUACCUGCAGAAAAAGCACCGGCUAACUACGUGCCAGCCGCCGCCGUAA